rnacentral:rRNA from 1 species
GAUGAACGCUAGCGGCAGGCUUAACACAUGCAAGUCGAACGGUAACAUUGGUGCUUGCACCAGAUGACGAGUGGCGCACGGGUGCGUAACGCGUAUGCAAUCUACCUUUUACUGAAGAAUAGCCCAGAGAAAUUUGGAAUAAUCCUUCAUAAUAUCAUUUAUCAGCAUUGAUAUUUGAUUAAAGCUCCGGCGGUAAAAGAUGAGCAUGCGUCCUAUUAGUUUGUUGGUGAGGUAACGGCUCACCAAGACUACGAUAGGUAGGGGCCCUGAGAGGGGGAUCCCCCACACUGGUACUGAGACACGGACCAGACUCCUACGGGAGGCAGCAGUGAGGAAUAUUGGACAAUGGAGGCAACUCUGAUCCAGCCAUGCCGCGUGCAGGAUGACUGCCCUAUGGGUUGUAAACUGCUUUUAUAUAAGAAGAAACACUCCCACGUGUGGGGGCUUGACGGUACUAUAUGAAUAAGGAUCGGCUAACUCCG